GACGAACGCUGGCGGCAGGCUUAACACAUGCAAGUCGAACGCCCCGCAAGGGGAGUGGCAGACGGGUGAGUAACACGUGGGAACGUGCCCUAAGGUUUGGAAUAUUCCCGGGAAACUGGGAGCAAUACCAAAUGUGUCCGUAAGGAGAAAGAUUUAUCGCCUUAGGAUCGGCCCGCGUCAGAUUAGGUAGUUGGUGGGGUAAUGGCCUACCAAGCCGACGAUCUGUAGCUGGUCUGAGAGGACGACCAGCCACACUGGGACUGAGACACGGCCCAGACUCCUACGGGAGGCAGCAGUGGGGAAUCUUGGACAAUGGGCGCAAGCCUGAUCCAGCCAUGCCGCGUGGAUGAUGAAGGCCCUAGGGUUGUAAAAUCCUUUCGUUGGGGACGAUAAUGACGGUACCCAAAGAAGAAGCUCCGGCUAACUUCGUGCCAGCAGCCGCCGUAAGAC
rnacentral:rRNA from 1 species